rnacentral:rRNA from 1 species
AUUGAACGCUGGCGGCAGGCCUAACACAUGCAAGUCGAACGAGUGGCGGACGGGUGAGACAUGUCUGGGAAACUGACCGAGGGAGGGGGCUAAAUACAGGAAACGGUAGCUAAUACAGCAUCCACUAGGGUGUGCCCAGAUGGGAUUAGCUAGUAGGUGGGGUAACGGCGCACCUAGGCGACCAUCCCUAGCUGGUCUGAGAGGAUGACCAGUCACACUGGAACUGAGACACGGUCCAGCCUCCUACGGGAGGCAGCAGUGGGGAAGAUUGCACAAUGGGCGCAAGCCGUAUGCAGCCAUGCCGCGUGUAUGAAGAAGGCCUGCGGGUUGUAAAGUACUUUCAGCGAGGAGGCGUUACUCGCAGAAUAAGCACCGGCUAACUCCGUGCCAGCAGCCGCGGUAAUUC